rnacentral:rRNA from 1 species
GAUCCUGGCUUAGGACGAACGCUGGCGGCGUGCCUAACACAUGCAAGUCGAACGGAGAUAUGCAGAUGAAGAUUCGGUGGAUCAGUAAUAUCUAGUGGCGGACGGGUGAGUAACGCGUGAGUAACCUGCCAAUGGGAGUGGAAUAACGUUCUGAAAAGAACGCUAAUACCGCAUAACAUAUUUUUGCCGCAUGACAGAGAUAUCAAAGAUUUUAUCGCUCAUUGAUGGACUCGCGUCCGAUUAGCCAGUUGGCGGGGUAACGGCCCACCAAAGCGACGAUCGGUAGCCGGACUGAGAGGUUGAACGGCCACAUUGGGACUGAGACACGGCCCAGACUCCUACGGGAGGCAGCAGUGGGGGAUAUUGCGCAAUACGGGGGGAAACCCUGACGCAGCAACGCCGCGUGAAGGAAGACGGUUUUCGGAUUGUAAACUUCUUUUGUUAAGGACGAAAAAAGUGACGGUACUUAACGAAUAAGCUCCGGCUAACUACGUGCCAGCAGCUGC